CCUACGGGUGGCAGCAGUGAGGAAUAUUGGUCAAUGGACGGAAGUCUGAACCAGCAAUGCCGCGUGCAGGAAGACGGCUCUAUGAGUUGUAAACUGCUUUUGUACAAGGGUAAACCUGAAUACGUGUAUUCAGCUGACAGUACUGUACGAAUAAGGAUAGGCUAACUUCGUGCCAGCAGCCGCGGUAAUACGGAGGAUCCAAGCGUAAUCCGGAUUUAUUGGGUUUAACGGGUGCGUAGGCGGAUUGAUAAGUUAGAGGUGAAAUGUACGGGCUUAACUCGGGAACUGCCUCGAAUACUGGGGAACUAGAGAGUAGAUGCGGUAGGCGGAAUGUAUGGGGUAGCGGUGAAAUGCUUAGAGAUCAGACAGAACACCGGUGGCGAAGGCAGCUUACCAAUCUAUAUCUGACGUUGAGGCACGAAAGCGUGGGGAGCAAACAGGAGUAGAUACCCUUGUAGUC
rnacentral:rRNA from 1 species